GCUUGUCUCAAAGAUUAAGCCAUGCAUGUCUAAGUAUAAAUGGUAUACAGUGAAACUGCGAAUGGCUCAUUAAAACAGUUAUAGUUUAUUUGGUAAUCGAAUUUACAUGGAUAACCGUGGUAAUUCUAGAGCUAAUACAUGCUGUAAAGCCCGACUUUUCGGAAGGGCCGUAUUUAUUAGAUAACAGACCAAUAUUCCUCGUGUCUAUUGUGGUGAAUCAUAGUAACUAAUCGGAUCGCAUGGGCUAGUCCCGCGACAAACCAUUCAAGUUUCUGACCUAUCAGCUUCCGACGGUAGGAUAUGGGCCUACCGUGGCAAUGACGGGUAACGGAGAAUUAGGGUUCGAUUCCGGAGAGGGAGCCUGAGAAACGGCUACCACAUCUAAGGAAGGCAGCAGG
rnacentral:rRNA from 1 species